AUUUUACGUGUUUAAAUAGAUAAGUUGUAACUUAAAUCUUUCAUCAUACUCUUCUUUCCUGCCUCACCUUUCUUGCGCCUGUUUUCUCUAGAGCUUAGCUUUUUUUGUUUCUUUUUCGUUAUCGAGUUUGUAUUUGUCAACUUCCUGCUUGGCCAACCCUCUCUGACUUGUUUUGUUGGUUCAGUUAAUACGUUCAGAGUUGCAAACAACUGUAAAUCAUUGGUGGUUGUUGUUGAUUGCUUCCCUUGCAAACUGUUUUUGUAUAACUAUCCAUACCAUCAUGCUGCGGAUGCAAAGUUGACAACCAAACAUAAACAGGGGAGAACAUCCCAAGAGUGUUGACUGAGUGAUGACUUGAAUUUUGCAUGACUUGUUCUAUUUGAAGAAUUGUUCAUGAAACGCACAAGGAUCGGAUUUUCAAGUUAUUUUCCUUUUAUUUCUCAAGAGGGGUGAAGAAUGGGGCAAAUGACUUUCAUUCAACCUUAUGCAUAGUGCUCAUGCAUACAUAUUUGGUUCAAUGUAGGCUUUGAUGAAGGGCUAUUGUCUCAUUAAUAAUACUUGCAGCCCUGCUUUGGCAAUCAAAUUUUGAGAACAAUCAUAUAUGAACGUGUCAAAAUUAUCAGAAUAAUCUAGACAACUCUCAUUAAAAUCAUCACCACGUCAGUGCAAACUUAUGGACUCUGAAGUAUUGCAGAGAAAUAUAAACUACAUUGAUUUCCAAUUUGUUGAAAUGUACGCUCUUCAAACUAUUCUAAACAUGAAUAUCUAUCUACACAAGUUUAAAAUUCUACUGUAGUCAAGUCGGGCAUGUAUUCAAGUCGUCUAUUCAAUCAAUAAUAUAUACAUAUAUUCAUUAAAAUAUUUUAAUGUUUGCUUGUCAUCACGUUAUGUGGAAUACUCUUGAUUCACUAGCUAAAUUAAAGCACACAUGUAUUUAUGCACAUAUGUAUGAAUAGUGUUAUAAUUUAAGUAUACCUUUGGUUUCGGCAAUAGUUGAACGUUGAUUAUCGUCACCACAUUAUUUCCUUUAUACUUAAUUAUUCCUGCAUAUUACCUUCGCGUGUCGCAAAUACGCUUGUUAAAUAUUUAUACUGAGCUGUGGUCCACUACUGUAAAUCUUGUGUACAUAAAUAUCGAUCGAUUAAUUAAGUGUGGAUUUCAUAUCCCAAGGCAAAUGCCAGCUCUAAAGUGGACAGUAAAUAUCAAUAUAGAUAAUAAUGCAUCAUGCAAUCAUGGUAAAAUUAUUAUUCCUUUAAGAUUAAGCGACUGUCAUGAAUGGACUGCAUGCUAUUUACCUGAAUCCUAUUACAUACAAGAACUGGAAGACACUCAUCAUCCUUGAUUCUCUUUUAAUAAAUAUGUACAUGCAAUAGAAUGAACAUGUUUUCUUUGUGAAUUUACCUUUGCGUCAUGUAGAGCCUGGGCAGAUGGAAUGACUGGGGAUAUUGUUAUCCCCAUGGCCAGUUUGCUGCCAUUUUUAUCGACCCUUUUAAAUGCUAGACGACCGACCGGAAUGAUAAACUUAUCUGCAUUGUUUUAAAACCGCCUCACUUUCCCAUUAUUCGAAUAUGUAUGUAGUACUUACAAUUAGUUGUGAGUUCUUAGUUCCUAGUUGAUACAUGUACACCUUGGUUUGGAUGAAACGCAUGAAAUAAAUUUGGAUUUGUAUUGUG